GGGCCCGCACAAGCGGCGGAGCAUGUUGCUUAAUUCGACGCAACGCGAAGAACCUUACCAAGGUUUGACAUGCAGGGAAAAGCCGUAGAGAUACGGUGUCCGUAAGGGUCCUGCACAGGUGGUGCAUGGCUGUCGUCAGCUCGUGUCGUGAGAUGUUGGGUUAAGUCCCGCAACGAGCGCAACCCUCGUCCUAUGUUGCCAGCGGGUUAUGCCGGGGACUCAUAGGAGACUGCCGGGGUCAACUCGGAGGAAGGUGGGGAUGACGUCAAGUCCUCAUGCCCCUUAUAUCUUGGGCUGCAAACAUGCUACAAUGGCCGGUACAGAGGGCUGCGAGACCGUAAGGUGGAGCGAAUCUCAAAAAGCCGGUCUCAGUUCGGAUUGGGGUCUGCAACUCGACCCCAUGAAGUCGGAGUCGCUAGUAAUCGCGAAUCAGCAACGUCGCGGUGAAUACGUUCCCGGGCCUU
rnacentral:rRNA from 1 species